rnacentral:rRNA from 1 species
AACGAGGGGAACGAGCGAUAUCCUGGCAUUAUUGGGCGUAAAGGGCUCGUAGGCGGUCCGUCACGUCGGGAGUGAAAACUCAGGGCUCAACCCUGAGCGUGCUUCCGAUACGGGCGGACUAGAGGUAUGCAGGGGAGAACGGAAUUCCUGGUGUAGCGGUGGAAUGCGCAGAUAUCAGGAGGAACACCGGUGGCGAAGGCGGUUCUCUGGGCAUUACCUGACGCUGAGGAGCGAAAGCAUGGGGAGCGAACAGG